GUGUUCUUUGCUCAGGUGUCCAAGUGGUUAGAGCGUCCGCCUUGGAUGCGGGAGGUUGUGGGUUCGAUCCCCGGUCGAGUCAUA